AUAUAUUUCUCCAGUCUCUUAUCCACAACUCAACAGUCCCUUUCCAAUCGCUUUGCUAGUAUAUAAACAGAAUCAUUCGGAAUUUGGCCGGGUUUUAGACAAAAGACCUUUAUUUAUUAUAUUAAUUAAUAAUGCACUUCAUAAGCUGAUAUGCAUUACAAUUACACACAGCGAUCACCGGCCAGUCCGAAAAGAGGAGUAGAAGUACAUCCUCUAGCAUUUAGAGAGCAUUGAGGAAGAAGCUUUGAAUGCCUCUCAUAGAACGUUUUACACCACCACC
rnacentral:lncRNA from 1 species